GUAGACAUUUUUAUUUCAUUUUUUUUACACAGAUGGCAUAUGAGCAAUAAAAAAAUUUAAAAAAAAUAAACCCUUUUGAGUGUAAGUCCUACGGAAAGAAUAAUGUAUUGGUCUCCCGUCCGACACCCAGGUAUUACAAAGAUCCUGACAUUUAAAAUGAAAUCUCUGAAUGCCAGAUGGGUGUGUGACUCCCUUAACUGGUUAAUGACGGUGAGCUAUUGUUCUAUUCUUCAUACCUGUCCUCAGGUCCCAAAGCAGACCAUUGUUUAGGAUUUUAAUACUCCCCAAUCACUGCCGCAUGCUGUUGGUCAGUGCAUGAAAAUUGCUGGCUGCAGCAUGUACACAUUGACAUGCUGGAGGCGCUUGGUCUAUUUAUUGAGAAUUGUCUUAAUCAGCAUACAGCAGUUUAGCACUUUUCAUGCACUGACCAACAUCAUUAGCCAUUUAUAACCCUGUCCCUAUACCUGAAUUGAAAUUCAUCUCGGAGUCCUUAUUAAGACACCUGUGCUAAAGCAGGGAUUUAUGAAGCAUAAGCCUGUUGGUGGCUCACGUCUGCAGCUUUAAAAAACACAGAUCUUUCGAUUGCAAGCUUCUAGGAACAGUUUCCCUGUUGCCUCUUUCUAUAUGUAUUAAUCGUUUUCAUUUACCUAUUGUACAUCGCUAUCUACUACCCUUUCUAUAUCACCGUUAUUCACUCUAUGAAUAACAAUCCUAUUGCAACCAGUGCCUAGAAAUGUCAUUGCUGAUUAACCCAUUAGUUACAGGAAGGCAUCUAAGAACACAAUAUAGGAUUUAACGGAUACUUUACUCUCUUUGGUAAAGAAUUUAGCAAAAAAAUAUGGAAAAUCCUUGUUUAACAAAAUCUAAACUUAUUUUUUUCAGGAGUAAAUAGAGGGAGCAGGCUUUUCUCCUAAUACCUAUUAAGGGUUAAACGUUGGCCAAUUUCAUUGUCUGAGACCCAAUUUCUGUGCAUAAUAUUUAGAGUAAGAUGCGCAUUACAGGUGGGAGCCUAUAACUGCAAUCAGGGCUCACUCUCUGUAUUGUACUGAUUUACCCUGUAUUGUAGCUUAUAAUGAUU